rnacentral:rRNA from 1 species
GAUGAACGCUAGCGGCAGGCUUAAUACAUGCAAGUCGAGGGACAGCACAGGUAGCAAUACUGGGUGGUAACCGGCAAACGGGUGCGGAACACGUACACAACCUUCCUUUAAGUGGGGGAUAGCCCAGAGAAAUUUGGAUUAAUACCCCGUAAUAUAGUUGAAUGGCAUCAUUUGAUUAUUAUAGCUACGGCGCUUAAUGAUGGGUGUGCGGCUGAUUAGAUAGUUGGCGGGGUAACGGCCCACCAAGUCUACGAUCAGUAGCUGAUGUGAGAGCAUGAUCAGCCACACGGGCACUGAGACACGGGCCCGACUCCUAUGGGAGGCAGCAGUAAGGAAUAUUGGUCAAUGGACGCAAGUCUGAACCAGCCAUGCCGCGUGAAGGAUUAAGGUCCUCUGGAUUGUAAACUUCUUUUAUUUGGGACGAAAAAGGGUCUUUCUAGACCAACUGACGGUACCAGAUGAGUAAGCACCGGCUAACUCCGUGCCAGCAGCCGCGGUAACAC